rfam:Sulfolobus acidocaldarius DSM 639, complete genome.
GGGCCCGUAGCUUAGCCUGGUAGAGCGUCCGGCUGAUAACCGGAAGGCCGUGGGUUCAAAUCCCACCGGGCCCA